UUGUUAUGCAGUUCCACCUCAAUCCUGUUCAUGCAAUUGUACAGCUCCGACCAUCACUGCAGCAUCGUAAGGAAAGUGAGUUGAAGAACCUUACCACCAGCAAUGAUGAAAAAAGUUGUGAAAACGAAGACGUCAAGGAGAAAAAGCCUGUGGGUCUGUCAAAGAAGCAGAACAAACUACCUGGGAACUACAAGGAUAUUGGAGAGCAUUGGUUACAUCUAAAAUACCAUGGGGCUAGGAGUGAUAUUUCAGCCAGAUAUCUGCAGAAAAUGUCCAUGGAGGAAGGCUCUCCAGUACCAUUUUCAAUGAGCCCGGUUGAUUAUCUGAAUGCCUUUUGUCCUGGAAGACCAACUGACACUGACAGAUUAAAAAUUCUUCGAACAAGGUUGUCUCAAUUACCACUUGAAGAACGUGUCAGAAUAUGGCUUCUUGAGGGGCCUCCAAUUCAUCGUUUUGAUGCUUUAAUGCACCUAGCGCCGGAUAAUUCUGCUGAUGAGAUUAUAAGAGUCCUCCAAAUAUAUGCACAAUUAGUUCAAGG
rnacentral:misc_RNA from 1 species